rnacentral:lncRNA from 1 species
UGUAAAGCGGCAAUGUUUAAUAGAAGAACUUGGACAAAUAGUCAAAUAGUUAUAUUUAUGUUUUUUUCUUUUUUUUAUAUAAUGGUAAUGUUACAUUAUGGAGAUAAGCCGUUUUUUUAGUGAAAAUUGUAAUCUUACAUAUGUUUAAUGUAGUUUUUCUAUUUUUUUUUUAUGUUGAGUGUUUACAUAUUAUUGUUAUUUUUAAAUGUAAAAUGGUAAUCUUACAUAUGUUUAAUGUAGUAUUUCCAUUUUUAUGUUGUAUGUUUACAUAUUAUUUAUUAUUUUCAAAAUUAUAUAUAAUGUUUUUUUUACUAAUAUUACAUUAUGGAGAUAAGCCGUCUUUUUUUAGUGAAAAAUGGUAAUCUUACAUAUGUUUAAUUAAUGUAGUUUUUCCAUUUUUUAUGUUGUAUGUUUACAUAUUAUUAUUUUUAAAUAAAAAUGUAAAAUGGUAAUCUUUUAUAUGUUUAAUGUAGUAUUUCUAUUUUUUAUGUUGUAUGUUUACAUAUAUUUAUUAUUUUUGAAAUUAUAUAUAAUGUUUUUUGUUUUUUUUUAUAAAACGGUAAUGUUACAUUAUGGAGAUAAGCCGUCUUUUUUUUUAAGUGAAAAAUGGUAAUCUUACAUAUGUUUAAUGUAGUUUUUCAAUUUUUUGUAUUAUAUGUUUACAUAUUAGUUAUAAUUUUCAAAAAUUUGUAAUAUUAAAAUGUAAAAUUAUAUUUUAUGCCACGUGUCAUCUUUCGAGAGAAGUUUUUUUUGCUGAUGUGGACGCUCUGUGGAGCCUCAAAAGGUCCCUUUUAUUAGUAGAGACUAGGGAUUAACCCGGGCUAUGCCCGGGAUUUUUAUUUUUUUCUAAUUUAAGUUGUUAAAUUAUUUAUAUUUAGGUUAUGAUAUAUAUUUUUUAUAAAUCUUAAGAUGCAUGUCAUAAUUAAAAU